rnacentral:lncRNA from 1 species
AUUCUGCUUAAUUGGGCUAAAUGAAAUCCUUCUAUUUUUUUCAAUAGAGCUAAAAUUUUUAAUCUUCAGUUCUCUAAAUCCUUUUUAAAAAUGUGGUUCCAUCUUAAAAUUAAAUUACAUUAUUUUAAAAAAUGUAGUUAGGAAGUUAAAAUGUGAUGUUAAAAUAUAAUUAUUAAAAUAUAACUAGUUCCAAUCUAAAAAGAAAUUAUAAGAUUGCAUUAUUGAAUUUCAAAGACCAUUUUCUGAAGACUUUUCCUUAAAACUUACUAAGAUAUUAAACCUGUAUGUUUUAUUCAUAUGCAUUGAUAGAUAUUUACAUUCACAGGUAUUGUAUUUACAACUAACGAUUUUUCAAUUUACUACUGUAGAUCAUACCUCACUCCUGUUAGGGAUGAAGAGUCUGAAUCCCAAAGAAAAGCAAGAUCUAGACAAGCAAGACAAUCUAGAAGAUCAACACAGGGAGUGACAUUAACUGAUCUUCAAGAAGCUGAGAAAACAAUAGGAAGAAGUCGUUCUACCCGAACCAGAGAACAAGAAAAUGAAGAAAAAGAAAAAGAGGAAAAAGAGAAACAAGAUAAAGAGAAACAAGAAGAAAAGAAGGAGUCAGAAACAUCUAGAGAAGAUGAAUAUAAACAAAAGUACUCCAGAACGUAUGAUGAGGUAACAGUAUAUCAAAAGCACAUUUAAGUCAAAUGGUAUGAAUAGUCCUUAUGAUCCUUAACAUACAAGAGAUUUAUAUACCAACAAACCAUAUGC